GUAUUUUAUCAUGGAAGAAUGAGAAAAGAUGCUGAAACUAGAAGAUUUUUUAUCCAUCAGAGCUUGAUAAAAUAUGAUGUGCAAAAAUUCGGUAGUGACUUUCUAGAAGAGAGCCUGGGUUAGAAUGGACAGAUUGUUUGAGAUGACCGUUUAAUGUAUUUUCUACACUGGUUGCUUGAAGACUCAGAAUACAAUUAUCUGCGCUAACCAGAUUCCUGGGUAUAUUGCUGUUGUUUCGUCUGCUCCAACAGUUAGGUCAAUAAACAAAAAACUAAUAGAAAUUUGAAAUUCCAGAAUUUCUUACAUAUCAAAUUAGUAGGGA
rnacentral:lncRNA from 1 species